rnacentral:rRNA from 1 species
CCUACGGGUGGCAGCAGUGAGGAAUAUUGGUCAAUGGUCGGGAGACUGAACCAGCCAAGCCGCGUGAGGGAGGAAGGUACAGAGUAUCGUAAACCUCUUUUGUCAGGGAACAAAGACUGGGACGCGUCCCCGGAUGAGUGUACUUGAUGAAAAAGCAUCGGCUAACUCCGUGCCAGCAGCCGCGGUAAUACGGAGGAUGCGAGCGUUAUCCGGAUUUAUUGGGUUUAAAGGGUGCGCAGGGGGUCUGUUAAGUCAGCGGUCAAAGUCCGGGGCUCAACCCCAGCCCCGCCUUUGAUAUUGGCAGUCUCGAGUUGGAGAGAAGUAUGCGGAAUGCGCGGUGUAGCGGUGAAAUGCAUAGAGAUCGCGCAGAACUCCGAUUGCGAAGGCAGCAUGCCGGCUCCACACUGACGCUGAGGCACGAAAGCGUGGGUAUCGAACAGGAUUAGAUACCCCAGUAGUC